CGUGGGUGACGAAUUACAUUAUACAUAAAUAUUUUACGAGCGCUGACUUACCCCUCUCGACGUUUUGACAGUUUGUCUGUUUGUUUUUCUCCCUCACCUUGCGUCGUCGUUUCGGUUUUGCAUCGUAUCGUUUUGUAUCCGUUUUGUUUGUUUUGUUUUUUCGAAGGACAGUGCUCGUUCCGCGCCUUGUAGAUCCGUUCUUGCACCUUGAAAUAGUGAUUCCUCUGGGAUUAAACAAAACGGAGAAUAUUCAGAUCCUCACGUGAGGAGGUUACUGAUUGCAAUCGUGUUUCCGCGCGUAUCAGUGCGCUCAAAUAAUGCAGCAGAUGCAGUUUCGAGGGAACAAGAUCCAGCAUCAAACUACUCGAGUACUGGAUUUCAUCAUGCCGGCAUUUAUCACGCAUCGGAAUAGGUUGGAACUGCUGGAGUGCAGCAUAGAAUGUGAACAUUUUUGAAUGUCGAACACAACCAAACCGAGAAAUUCUUUUUUGCGAUGAUGCCCGCUUGAAACGUUUACACUGCGCGAGGAAUACGGGAGGAAUCUAUUGGCGAAAUUUUGCGCAAGGGCAGCAACGAUAUCCGACAUCAGGAUAAUUUUCUGAACAAUCCCGACUGGAAAGAAGUCAUACUUGGCGAGUAUUGCUAUUCGGUGGCCAUGAUUUUUGAAACCGACCGCUGAUCAAGCCGAAAGGUACCGUUGGUAAAUGUGGGAAAACAACAAACAACAAAUCGCCACCGUCUUCCGUAGCAAUGCGUGCAACACCCUGAUUGCAACACCGGCGUAAAUGAAGUGGUUCUUUUUGAGCGCUACGACAUCAGCAAAAAUCCUAUCAAACUUGUGCAGUUCAUGCGUAGGAUCGAACGGCAGUGGGCUGAUAUUGGUACCCGAGGGAAAAAAGCACCAUACCCCGAUGUUUUGGCUUCCAAGGAUAAGACGAACCAGUAGUAUAAAAUCAGUUGUGCGAGUUUCUCAAGAAAAGCCUCGCAAUGCGAUUCUGGUCGAUUGCGGUCACUCGGUGUUGCAAGUAUUAGUCUAUUUUCUUAUGAAGAAAAGCUACAGCAGCCUGGCGAAUCACAUCAAAGACGGAUUUCAGAUGAAGUUUUACCGAUCCCUGAUCAAGCAAAUGAUUGAGAGAGCUAAGGUACGGACGAGCUCGCGGACGAAGUAACGGAUGCUCACCAACAGCAUUAAACUGUUGCUAAACAUCAAUUGCUACAUGAACGAAAUUGACCGUCGCUCAACGAUGCAACGUAUCAAUUCGGAAGCGAGUUUUUCUAGCGAGUUGAAGUCACCGUGGAAAAAUCUACUGGCCGAUUCCAGUUUAGCUGACCGAGCCGAUAUCAAGAAAAAAUCAAUAUACGUUAUCAUGUAUGUUAGUAAUAAAACCCAAAAAUUUAUGAAAAUAAAA